rnacentral:rRNA from 1 species
GACGAACGCUGGCGGCGUGCUUAACACAUGCAAGUCGAACGAGUGGCGAACGGGUGAGUAACACGUGGGUGACCUGCUCUGCACUUCGGGAUAAGCCUGGGAAACUGGGUCUACUACCGGAUAGUGUGGGAUGGGCCCGAGGCCUAUCAGCUUGUUGGUGGGGUAAUGGCUACCAAGGCGCGACGGGUAGCCGGCCUGAGAGGGUGGACGGCCACAGUGGGACUGAGACACGGCCCAGACUCCUACGGGAGGCAGCAGUGGGGAAUAUUGCACAAUGGGCGGAAGCCUGAUGCAGCCAUGCCGCGUGUGUGAAGAAGGCCUUCGGGUUGUAAAGCACUUUCAGCGAGGAGGCGUUACUCGCAGAAGAAGCACCGGCUAACUCCGUGCCAGCAGCCGCGGUAAUAC